UCGGUCGCAGAACGAACGCUUCAACGAUCUUCUUCACCUUCUUCACCGAAUCUCCGGGACUCCAGCACCAUCAUGUAGAACUCGAGAGCCAUAACAAACCCCCGCCGGAACGAGCCAGAUCUGGCGAUCUCCGUCCAUCCUUCGCUGUCGAAGAAGAAGACGACCUAUUAAGGAUCGGUUGCCAAAAUCCUUUACUAAGGAUCGGUUUUCAAAGCCUGCUUCUGAUCCAUCUUCAGGUUUACCUGAGAAGCUAAAUAUUGGCAAGGUAUAACUUACGUUUAAAUUGAGAGAAUAUAUAGAAUAGCCAACGGUAUAUAUAUUGCUGGGAUUGUUAAAGCCCAUGUCCAACUCUAUAUUAUCCGAUUAGUACGAUAUUGUCUACUUUGGGCCUUAGGCAAGCUCUUAUUGAUUUACUUUUGGUUUUCAUCCCAAAAGGCCUCGUACUAAUUAGAGUUGAACAUCCCUUUAUAUAUUAGACACUCCUUGUCUAAUUCUCCAAUAUCGGACUUAGUUUGUUAUCUCACAUUCUCUCUCUCAAACUAAGGAUUACAUUCAUCUCGUGUCGCACAACUGACUUCUAUGAUCUUUUGACUUGAUCUCUGCCACACACACCUCCCAGUCCUAACUCGAUGGGUCUCAUUCCUAUUCGAAGGGUAUUUUGGUCUUUUUGCAGAUUUCUUGUCAACAUGUCUCUGAUACCAAUUAUUGGGAUUGUUAAAGCUCAUGUCCAACUCUAUAUUAUCCGAUUAGUAUGAUAUUGUCCACUUGGGGCCUUAGGCAAAACCACAUGGAUUUACUUUUGGUUUUUAUCCCAAAAAGGCUCGUACUAAUUAGAGUUGGACAUCUCUUUAGUUUGUUUUCUUGCAUAUAUUGCUUAACUAUUUGUUUCAUUUUGCUUUCACAGGAGGCAGCGGUGUCAGGAAAUGCUGCAUAACGUUCUUAAGUUUCUUCUAUUUUUGUAGUUAGGUGAGUUUCACUAAAUACUUAUGAUUGCACCGUUAAGUUUAGCGGUACCUAGUUUGAUGUAAUUUCUCUAGCGAAGCAAGGAGAAUUUAUUAAAUGGGCAGAGAGAUUGUGGUGUUGCCACCUCAGCAUAUCACCUUUGUAAAUAACUUACAUUUUAAAAAUUAUUUUUUUAAAUGGCUAUUUGAUUAAUAUUUUUUUCAUUAGCAUAAACAGACUCAUGCUGACUUUGUGAACCAAACUGGUAACUCCGCAUCCAAGUGAAUGACGAAAUACUAUUGUUUUCUGAAGCUGCAUGCUAGACUAUCCGUCCUUGAAUUCUCCGUCCGGGAUACAUGAAUGAUCUCUUAGUUUAGGAAACUUGCUUUCAAAAUCUUAAUUUCUUCUAGACACACUUCAAACGCUGGCCAUUAUUCUCGUUCCGAACCCAUCUUCACCAAUCGAGAUCAAUCCGUCGAAACCAUCUUGAUUAACAAGAAAGGGAUAAGUUGAUGUAUCUAUUCUAUUAAAACACAAGUAUGACCAAUUGAUAUAUGUUGAGUCUAAUAAUUGUUUUUCUAUGUUAUCAAAUCUAAAAGAAAUAAAACAUAAUACUUUUAAACUGAAUUGAAAUUAAAACUGUAUUUCCAUAACUACCAUCUAUUGGUCAAAACAUGUAUUUUGUAACCUCCUUUCCAUAAUUAUCGAUGGCCACACCACUUCUUUCUAAUAUUUAUAUUAGUCAACUGUUAUAUAAAUGAUAAUAAUUAUUCUUUUCUUUUGGGUUUAUAUCAAAACUAAGUUUGCUUACUUCCUUUCAACAGUAUUCUAUCAAAAUUUUCUUUUGUGUGUUAUUGGAUAAUCUGAACAUUUUUCUUUUUAGAAUUUUAACAUUUUAUUUUAUUAAUAGAACACAUUAUUUUAUAUAAUUAUGUAUACAGUUACAUUAUUGACAUAUCUUUCUAUAAUUGUAUGCUAAUUAUUUCUUAUAAUCUCGGUUAAAAAGUAUAAAAUUUAAUUUUUAUAUCACAGACACUUUAUAUUUGUUAAGAAAUACAAAAUAAAAAUACUUAUUGUAGUUUCAUUUUUUCACCUUUAAUAUUAUGAAAGAAGAUAUAUACUAUUUUCACCGACUAUUAAAAUAUAAUAUUUAGUAAUAAUAAAAUUUGGUAUAUUUAAUUAUUUUAACUAAUUAUAACUUACAUCUCACCUAAAAAAUUAGGAUUUAUUCAACUAGACAUUAAUUUAUUCAAAUUUUAAAUAUUUUAAAUAGACAUUAAGUUUAUCAAUUAACAAAGAACAAGAUGUUAAAAUAGGGUUUAACGGUUUUAAUAGAAAUAAACAUUCAUAUAAACUCAUUUAGUUUAACGGGACCGAAAUAGGUUAUUCGAUCAAAAAUAUUUAUUAAAUGUUAUAUAUUCUAUUAAAA